UUGAGCUGUAUGCUGGGAAACUCGCACGUACAGUUCUUAGGGAGGAGCGGCCCGGCAACGGGUCGUUCCUACCCGAC
rfam:Rhizobium lusitanum strain P1-7 genome assembly, contig: Ga0061101_126